UUUCCUGACGACUUUGACGUUCGAGUCAUUUGUAGAGAUGGCAGAAAAUGUACAAGAAUUGCCAAGUGUUAUAGAGUCUGGCAACUCGGAAAUGAGGGUUGAAUUUGAACCUAAGGAAGGUCGUACAGACUCUGUGAACAGCAGUUCUUCCAGGCAGUUUACGUUUGGUUUGUUCAAAUGUGCAGACAAGGUAGAUGUAUGUCUUCUCGCUGUCGGCAUUCUUGCUGCCAUUGCAGCCGGAUUGGGCUGGCCUGUUU